rnacentral:misc_RNA from 1 species
GCAGAUAAUGCCACUAAUAAAUCUUACUCCAGAUUGAUUUGAAAGUUCUGGUUGCAUCUCCUGCUCAAGCAACGAUGCUGUAUCUGUAUAGUUAUCAUUGGAGUACACGUUUUCACUUAAUUCUGUUUCCUGAGCUGUUGUAUGACUUCUACUUGAGACAAGGAAGUCACUGGCCUUCUGCAAUACCAUCUUAAACUCAAGCAGCU